UACGGGGGGAGCGAGCGUUGUUCGGAUUUACUGGGCGUAAAGGGCGCGUAGGCGGCCACCGCAAGUCGACUGUGAAAUCUCCGGGCUUAACCCGGAAAGGUCAGCCGAUACUGCGGGGCUAGAGUGCAGAAGGGGCAACUGGAAUUCUCGGUGUAGCGGUGAAAUGCGUAGAUAUCGGGAGGAACACCUGUGGCGAAAGCGGCGCACUGGACCACAACUGACGCUGAGGCGCGAAAGCUAGGGGAGCAAACAGG
rnacentral:rRNA from 1 species